rnacentral:rRNA from 1 species
UACGGAAGGUGCAAGCGUUGUUCGGAAUUACUGGGCGUAAAGCGUGCGCAGGCGGUUUUGUAAGUCUGUCGUGAAAUCCCCGGGCUCAACCUGGGAAUUGCGAUGGAGACUGCAAGGCUAGAAUCUGGCAGAGGGGGGUAGAAUUCCACGUGUAGCAGUGAAAUGCGUAGAGAUGUGGAGGAACACCGAUGGCGAAGGCAGCCCCCUGGGCUGAGAUUGACGCUCAGGCACGAAAGCGUGGGGAGCAAACAGG